ensembl:lncRNA
UUUUAUAUUGAUGGACCUGCUUGGUGGUUUAUGAUUAACAUUCUUUCCCCGGCUGAUCGACUAUGAUGGAAACGAAAUUUGUUUAAUAAGCCAAUAUUUAUGAAACCGCUUCCAAAAAGACUGAACAUGUUUCAUUUUGGCGAGAUGGGUCGCCCAUUCGGAUACACAUGUACUCAUCAAAGGGUUUUGUUUGAUGUUAGAUUCUCAAGAUGACCAGAGAAUCGUCUACAAACGUGCCGAGGUGUACCACAGGACUCAGUUCAGACGUGAAGUGAAGUUGAAGUUGGCCUUCUCGGGUCACGUGGACUGUCCAGCUGCUCCUCUCCCAUGAUGCACCAGUCGAUGCCGUCGACCAAUCGGGCCGCAAGGCCCUGAUGAUGGCGGCGAAGGGCAGAGUCGGCGUGCUUGGUAAAGACUGGAAUGAUGCAUUGCUUGCUCUGCGGAUUACCUCGCCAGAGCCCAUGUGUCGUUGUUUGUCUUUUUGAUGAUGUGGCCAUGUAUGUAUAGUUUCUUCUUGUCAUGGCUCUGAUUAACUUAUUUUGCUCAUCUCCAGAGGUGCUGUUGACCAGCACUGAGGCCAACCUGAGUCUGACGGAUAAAGACAGCAACACGGCCCUUAACCUGGCCUGCAGUAACGUAAGUGUCCACUAGGGAUCCACUCAAGCCUGUAUUAAUUCCAACAGUGAGGUGAAACGGCUCCCCCUGCUGGUUGUAUUCUCAGUCGCUAUGGAUUUUACCCAUAGCGACGCUAGUUGAGAACUGUCAGACUAAUCUGGUUUUAAAAGUAUUGAAGGCAUUUAAAUGGACAUGGAGGUGAUGAUGUCAAUUUCAAGCACAUAUCUGAACACUGAUCUGUUGAAUUACCAAUACUGAACCUCUGAACUUAAUACAAACCUGUCCAGUCUAAAAUGUAGUCUCAAAAGCCUUACUUAUGAUCUAUUUUAGUCGAUACUUGGUGCAGAUGCUGACACAGGCUUUACAUAGCCUGCCUGCACAUGACAUAAUUCAGGUAACGCCUGAUUUUAACAUAUUUAGUGCGUUACAUGGUGUUGAAUCGUUAUUGGAUGCUGAAGACUCAUUUGGUUCCCCAUGGUUAUAUUUAACACUAAAUAAGUCAUUUAAUUAAAUUGACUAUUGCGUUUUAAGUGGCAAGGUUGCUCAUAAAUUAAACGCCUUUUUUUUCAAAUGUACGUGAUUUUGCGCUUUCUCUAAUAUAUCUCUUUGUUUGGUUUCAGGUCGGUCAGAGGAGAACGGCUUUGAGGGGGUGGCUCCUGGGGAGAUAGGGCGAACGUGGUCGUAGGGGGCGCGGCAGAGGUGAGACUCCAUGCUGAACCAUGCAACUGGAUUCAUGUCAAUUAUGGCACCAAUGCACUCCUGACCAUCCAUGGAGGGAGGAAUCCCCUACUAUAAUGCCUUCCUUCUCAAGAUUUCUUCCUUGCUGAUUUAAGGGAGUUAAAAACCCCCCUUUGGGUAAAGGGGGUUUAAUAAAUAUUUGGCCUCUUAAGCCCUUUCAGACUGAUGGUAAUUAAGGGCUAUACAAUUUAAAUGAAUUGUAUGAAUCCCUUGUUUAUUCAUAUCUUUGGGAGAGACUGAAUAUUGAACAGAUUCAAGCCCAUGUAUUGCUAAGCAAUCCUGCAGUUGGAGUGAAAUACUAGAGUCCGGAUAGAUAUACAGGGGUUACACCAGUCUGUUAGCCAUUUAUUUGCAUCUCUUAAUGAACUGCGUACUGUACAGGCACUGUUGGUUACAGAUUCUUGUCCCAGGGAUUGGGGUGAGCCUCUCUUUAUUGAAUUGCGUAAUGGGGAAGGAGGUGAUGUCCUUUUCAAGCACAUAUCUGAAUUGUUCUGUGGAAUUACCAUUACUGAACCUCUUAACUAAAUCAAAUCACUGAGCUGAUGCAGUGGGAAUGCAAACUUCUUACCUGAAUUACUUGCCCCAUCCAUGCAUCCCACGUUUCAUGUAUCCUUCCUUCCCAUUGUGUCCUCUGCAGGACCUUCAACCCGGCGGACUAAACGGCUAAUUCUGGGGGUGUUGCAAGGAAACGUGGGACACUGACGGCAACGACGGUGCUGAGGGAACUAAGGUAAGAUAACUACGGCGACAGCAAUAUCAUUUUAUGAACGAAUGAAUCUCACAGUUGGAAAAUAUGUUGUCUGUAUGGUGAUGUGCAUCAGACGCAACAAUGAGUUAUUUAGAAAUGUAAUUAAAGUAAUUAAUCAAGCAGUUGAGAACUGAGAUUAGUCUGGUUUUAGAAAGUAUUGAAAUGUAUUUUAAUGGACAAGGAGGUGAUGAUGUCCUUUUCAAGCACAUAUCUGAACACUGAUCUGUGGAACUACCAUUACUGAACCUCUGAACUAAAUAAAAGUCCUGUCCUGUCUAAUCUGAAAAUGAGCCUUUUUCAAAGAUAAUUUUUUUGGAAUGGGAACAUCUCUCAAACUAACGCUUCUACGGAGUCAUUGACCGGCUUGGGUCUGAACGGAGUUUCUCAAGGUCACCAGGAAGCUCGUCUACCAGCGUGCCGUGGUGUACCACAAGACUGCUCAGACGUGAAGUCCGCCUAGCUCGCACUCCCCGCUGAGCCUAAGCUGGCCUUCAUCAUCAUGAUCCCAUGUCUUUCAAGGUGACCAGGAAGCUCGUCUAGAAGCCUGCUGGGCGUACCAGGGGGUACAGGACUGAUCCACCUCCGCUAAGGCCACCCUGGCCGUGGUCAUUGGGGUCCGAGGGGAGGGAGUAACGUCUGCCAUGCCCCUACCGCCCUCAGUGGGAAACGUCCUGGUCCCCGCCGAGCCUUCGUCAGCAGGAUCCCAGGACUCUCAAGAUGACCAGAGAAUCGUCUACAAACGUGCCGAGGUGUACCACAGAGUACAGGACUCAGUUCAGACGUGAAGUUGGCCUUCAUCAGGAUCACAGGAAUGGCUGAAGACUGGCCAGAUCCUUCAACAGGCUCCCAGCUGGGCGAGCCCCAUGCAUCAUCAUCCUCUGGACUGCAUUUAGGGAAGCGACGGAAUCGUCUGCAUGAGGGCUCAUCAUGCUAGUGAGAUGUAGCUCACAGAUGCACUUCAGACGAGCAGGCCUACUCCAGCAGUACUCGUCCCCUACUCCUGUCCCAUUAUGGCUCCUAGUCGCAUGUUAAUGAUGCACUUGUUGUUCCCCAUCUUAUCGACUGGUGAAACCCAAGCUGAAAAUAAGACAAUUUAGUCUGAAACCACAUCCUGGACUUGAGUCUCAUUGAUUGUUAUUGUGAAUCCGGAUCCUGUUUCAAAAGCAAAACAUAUAAAUCACUUUAUAUGUUGUGACUAGUAUUUAUUUUUUUAUCCUAAAUGAUUUUUGCUCCCUUUCCGGUUAUGUGUGAUUUCAACUGAGAAAUAAAAACAACAAAAACUAAUUGUUUCAGUGUGACAUUUUCUAUGGCCCACCUUUGGGGGGGAAACUGCAUUCUGAUGGCCCAGUACAGAUCUAGCCUGCCUCUUGGACUGUCUCCCAAACUAGUUGCUGUGGGAAGAUCAACUGGCAUAAUUA